GAUGAACGCUGGCGGCGUGCCUAAUACAUGCAAGUCGAGCGAACAGACGAGGAGCUUGCUCCUCUGACGUUGCGGCGGACGGGUGAGUAACACGUGGGUAACCUACCUUUAAGACUGGGAUAACUUCGGGAAACCGGGGCUAAUUCCGGAUUAUAUAUUUAACCCCCUGGUUUAAUAGUGAAAGACGGUUUUUGUUUUACUUAUAGAUUGAUCCGCGCCGCAUUAGCUAGUUGGUAAGGUAACGGCUUACCAAGGCAACGAUGCGUAGCCGACCUGAGAGGGGGAUCGGCCACACUGGAACUGAGACACGGUCCAGACUCCUACGGGAGGCAGCAGUAGGGAAUCUUCCGCAAUGGGCGAAAGCCUGACGGAGCAACGCCGCGUGAGUGAUGAAGGUCUUCGGAUCGUAAAACUCUGUUAUUAGGGAAGAACAAAUGUGUAAGUAACUAUGCACGUCUUGACGGUACCUAAUCAGAAAGCCACGGCUAACUACGUG
rnacentral:rRNA from 1 species